rnacentral:rRNA from 1 species
CUGCUGCCUUCCGUAGGAGUUUGGUCCGUGUCUCAGUACCAAUGUGGCCGAUCAACCUCUCAGUCCGGCUACCGAUCGUCGCCUUGGUGGGCCGUUGCCCCACCAACUAGCUAAUCGGCCGCGAGCCCAUCUUUCAGCGGAUUGCUCCUUUGGCUGCAUCGGGAUGCCCCAUCGCAGCGUUAUGCGGUAUUAGCAGUCGUUUCCAACUGUUAUCCCCCUCUGAAAGGCAGGUUGCUCACGUGUUA